GGGUAUCCGGGGAUGGGUAUCCAGAGACAGAGUUCCCAAAGAUGGAUACCUGGAGACUGGUGCCCAGAAAUGGGUAUCUGGAGAUGGGGUUGCUGGAGAUGGGUACCUGGAGAUGGGGGCCAGGACUUAAGAAAAAGACUCGAGGAAACUUGCCCCAGCAGUUUGCUCCGAGAGGCUCGAGGUGGGAACGUGCUGGGACGGGCUGUGGGAGCACUGGGAGCUGCUGGGGGACAUCCAGAGGGCCGGAGAGCCCCGGCGUGAGGCUUGGGGGUGCCAGCACGGAGCAGGUUGAGAAGCACCAGGCCAAGGGAGGGAAAUGGAGGAGAAACUGGCUGUAAACAAAGGGAACGUGACCAGACUAGCCUGGCUCCGGCGCUCUGCUGAAGGGAGAACAGAAAAUAAACUGCAGAAAGAAGGAAAGUCAAGUACGUCUUCAGCUGCCUGAGAAGAGGCUCUGGGACCUGUGCUGGGAUCGGGGUGUUUGGGUCAUGAAAACGGGCACCCGUCAGCAGAGCUGUUGGCCAAACAAAUGUCCUGGAGCCUGUGGUGCUGCUUUUAUGGGAGCUGAUCCCCUGGGGGGUGGCUGGAGGGCCCUUGGGGGUGCAUCUGUCCCCACGCGUGCUAUCGGCAUGGCACAGGCUCCUGCCCGCAGCCCAGUCCCCACGAGCCCACCGAAGUGCCUUCCUGUGCCCCUCCGCCUCCCCUCCCUCUCUUCAUCUUUGGAUGACGCUGGUUCAUAUUCUGCACAUCUGCCGGUUCAUAUUCUCCUGCAGAACUGCAAUUUCAGAAUUGCUCUGCUCCAUUCUUCUGACACUUGAAGCUUUGAGGCUUAAGCUUUUGGGGGGCUCACUUUUUUUUUUUGUAUAAUACCAAGUUUUCUGUAUUUUCCAGUUUGUCUGAAAGCCGUGGGCACGAACCUCAGCUGAACACGAGGGUUCAAACCAUCCUCAAACCGGUGUCAUAACAAUCCCAAUAAUAAACAAUGGCUUGUGAAUAACAAUAGGACUUUUUUUCCCCGUUUUUGUUUAAAAACAGGAUUAUCCAGCUGAAGUUAACAAAAUCUGGAGUUCAACAUGCCGGAAUGAAUCACCGGGAGCAAACACAGCUCCCUCAACGUGAGCCCGUUGAAAGCCUCCAUUGAUUCACUUUAAACUCAUAGACCGACUUUGACAAACUCUCCAUCAAAACUGCCUAAUGCUUGUUUCGUUCGUAAUCCUCUCUGAGCUGCUGCCCGCUGCUAAUCUCUGCCAGAAACCACUAUUAAAUCUGUCCUGGUCUGCAACACUAAUUCUGAGCAACUGCACCGGGAGAAAAACCAUCGGCUGGGCCCGCGUCUUUGUGCUGUUUGCGUGCUCCGCAGGAAGAUCGUUUAGUUUCUAAUGAGACUAAUUAAAAA